CCCAGCUUUAGCUCAGUUGGGAGAGCGUUAGACUGAAGAUCUAAAGGUCCCUGGUUCGAUCCCGGGUUUCGGCAGUGAAGCCACGGCUGUGCGUUUUUUAGUCGAGAGGGUCCAGUGACCAAACGCCGCCACCUAGCCACGCUGCUGCCCGCCUCUCAGACGUAUCGCUCGGAGAGCGGUGGUUCCAUGGUGUAAUGGUUAGCACUCUGGACUUUGAAUCCAGUGAUCCGAGUUCAAAUCUCGGUGGAACCUUUGUGUCCCUUUUUCGGCAGGGGGAGAAAAACAGAGGCGCUGCGCAACUGCUAACGUAACUGUAAAGAGGCGGUGAAAUUGGCAUUCUCAAAGCGACUCGGGGAAACGUGGGCUUAAACGGCAAAGCCUUCACUGGCUCUUUGCUACGGCGCUUCUAGGCUGAAUGACUUCAUUCUCUGCGGCUCGGUGCGCAAAGGCGGCUGUGGCCGAGGUUCCAUGGUGUAAUGGUUAGCACUCUGGACUCUGAAUCCAGCGAUCCGAGUUCAAAUCUCGGUGGGACCUGCUUUUGCCACGAAUGUGAGCAGGACCCCGUCCGAAAAACCUUUUCAGCAGCAGCGAGCCUCAAGAGCUCAUCCGGGGAGUGCCCCAUCGUGCCAUAAAAGCGCAGACUGUCCCAAUAGGGAAGUGAGCGUAAAAGGGCGGGGCGCCACCUGGAGAAUGCGGGCAUCGAUCCCGCUACCUCUCGCAUGCUAAGCGAGCGCUCUACCAUUUGAGCUAAUUCCCCUGGACGGUGGAGCGAAGGUGUCCAUCGCUCUCAAAGACACCGGCGAGGAGCGACCCCUAGCAGGUGUGCAGGCGCUGCAGCGGGAUUUCCAAUGGGCACAAAGAAAAGAGACCCUAUUUCCUCUGUGCUGGUGACUUUGCACUGGCUACUGUUUAGUUGUAGGUUUAAUUAAAAGAUUGUGCUUUCAUUUUUAAGGCCCUUCUUGUUCUCGCUCCACAAUAUAUGUGUGUGGACGCUCAAGACGCUGCCUCCAGGGUCACUCGGGUCGUGCAGCCAGCUUCUCCUCUCUGUUUCCCGCUCUGGCUUAAAGUCUAAAAGACAUCUGGCUUUUUUAGCUGUCCUCGCUGAGCACUGGAAGAGUCUCCCUCUUCAUCUUAGGUCCACCGUCGCCGUUGGCAUAUUUUGAAUCCACUCAGAAGACCACUGCUGUUGUUUUUCAAUGGGCUUCAUUAUAAAUAAUCCCCUUGGCUAUCACAAGAUUGUGAUUCGCUAUCAGAAGUGAGUUGUGUGGUCAGGAAAGCUUGCACCCACCAGGAACGUUACAGGUUAGAGCAAUGAUGUGUCAUGAGUUCAUCAACGGCUCCGACAACUCCAGGGAAGCCCACAGUCAACAUAAAAGUGUCUUUCUUUUGCCGCAUGGUUUGAUGGUCAGUUGGAAAGUCAAUGAACUGCCAUAGAGUAGAGGCCAAUUGUGAUGUCCAGCCAUAUGAAAAUUGACAUCUUCAACCUUAAUUCAACUUAAUUAAACUUUUAAAAAUGUGUUAAAAGAUGUAAGCACAUCGACUAGCUGGAGUCAGUUGUUUCAUGUGUGAUAAUGAAAUGAAAUUUCAAAUUAUUUCAAAUUAUGUUUGGCCAGUCUGUCAUACAAAGAAAUUAUGAACACAUGCAAAAACAAGAGAGAACCAAUUAAAUAU